AGGCCCCGACUGUUUACUUAAAACACAGACAUCUGCAACGAUUAAUUUCUUUGUAUAGGUGUUGAAUUUUGCCCGAUGCCAUUAAUAUAAGUAAAAAUCUGGUCAAUGGCGGUCUUAUCCUGAGGAUCCUAAGGUAGCAAAAUUAAUUGUCCAUUAAAUGUGGUCCCGACUGAAUAAAGUAACGAUGGUCUCACUGUCUCUACAAGUAUCUCAGUGAAAUUGAAUU
rnacentral:rRNA from 1 species